AUGGAUCUUGGACAUGAACUUCGGAUUUACAUUGACAAUGUCCGAGCAGACCAAAGAUUUGCCAAUUUGGAUGGCAUUGCGGAUCUUGCUAAAAAGUUGGUGCAUACUAAGAAGCAUCUUGCUUUCCCUUUGGUGUAUCAACUUCUAAAGCUAGUGCUAAUUUUGCCGGUUGCCACAGCGUCAGUGGAGAGAUGCUUUUCAGCAAUGAAUAUUGUGAAGAGUGUUUUACGCAACAAAAUGGGUGACCAGUUCAUGAGUGAUUGCUUGAUUUGCUUUGUGGAGAAAGAUAUAUUUGCUACCAUUACAAUUGACGCCGUAAUUGAUCUAUUUAAGAAGAUGGGAGAUCGAGAAGGCAAGUUAUAA
rnacentral:rRNA from 1 species